rnacentral:rRNA from 1 species
AGUGAACGCUGGCGGUAGGCCUAACACAUGCAAGUCGAACGAGAGGCGGACGUGUGAGGAAUACAUCGGAAUCUAAUCUGUCGUGGGGGAUAAGGAAGGGAAACUUACGCUAAUACCGCCUACGAUUGACUGGGCCGGUGUCGGAAUUGCUAGUUGGCGGGGUAAAGGCCCACCAAGGCGACGAUCCGUAGCUGGUCUGAGAGGAUGAUCAGCCACACUGGAACUGAGACACGGUCCAGACUCCUACGGGAGGCAGCAGUGGGGAAUAUUGGACAAUGGGCGCAAGCCUGAUCCAGCCAUACCGCGUGUGUGAAGAAGGUCUUCGGAUUGUAAAGCACUUUAAGUUGGGAGGCGUUACCAACAGAAUAAGCACCGGCUAACUUCGUGCCAGCCGCCGCGGUAAUAC